rnacentral:rRNA from 1 species
GAUGAACGCUAGCGGCAGGCUUAAUACAUGCAAGUCGAGGGGCAGCAUGACUGUAGCAAUACAGUUGAUGGCGACCGGCAAACGGGUGCGGAACACGUACAGAACCUUCCUUCGAGCGGGGAAUAGCCCAGAGAAAUUUGGAUUAAUACCCCAUAGUAUAUUAGAGUGGCAUCACUUUGAUAUUAAAGAUUUAUCACUUGAAGAUGGCUGUGCGGCUGAUUAGGUAGUUGGCGGGGUAACGGCCCACCAAGCCUUCGAUCAGUAACUGGUGUGAGAGCACGACCAGUCACACGGGCACUGAGACACGGGCCCGACUCCUACGGGAGGCAGCAGUAAGGAAUAUUGGUCAAUGGGCGAAAGACCUGAACCAGCCAUCCAGCGUGCAGGAAGAAGGCCCUAUGGGUUGUAAACUGCUUUAUCAGGGAAGAAACCUCUGGAUUUACUCCGGAGCUAGCGGUACCUGAAGAAUAAGCACCGGCUAACUCCGUGCCAG